rnacentral:tRNA from 1 species
GCCGCCUUAGCUCAGAGGUAGAGCAACUGUUUCGUAAACAGUAGGUCCUCGGUUCGAUUCCGAGAGGCGGCUCAA